rnacentral:rRNA from 1 species
GAUCCGGCCAUGCCGCGUGUGUGAAGAAGGCCUUUUGGUUGUAAAGCACUUUAAGCGAGGAGGAGGAGCUCUUGGUUAAUACCCAAGAUGCUUGGACGUUACUCGCAGAAUAAGCACCGGCUAACUCUGUGCCAGCAGCCGCGGUAAUACAGAGGGUGCAAGCGUUAAUCGGAUUUACUGGGCGUAAAGCGCGCGUAGGUGGCCAAUUAAGUCAAAUGUGAAAUCCCCGAGCUUAACUUGGGAAUUGCAUUCGAUACUGGUUGGCUAGAGUAUGGGAGAGGAUGGUAGAAUUCCAGGUGUAGCGGUGAAAUGCGUAGAGAUCUGGAGGAAUACCGAUGGCGAAGGCAGCCAUCUGGCCUAAUACUGACACUGAGGUGCGAAAGCAUGGGGAGCAAACAGGAUUAGAUACCCUGGUAGUCCAUGCCGUAAACGAUGUCUACUAGCCGUUGGGGCCUUUGAGGCUUUAGUGGCGCAGCUAACGCGAUAAGUAGACCGCCUGGGGAGUACGGU